rnacentral:rRNA from 1 species
UACAGAGGGGACAAGCGUUGUUCGGAAUUACUGGGCGUAAAGGGCGCGUAGGCGGCCUGUUAAGUCGAACGUGAAAUCCCCGGGCUCAACCCGGGAACUGCGUCCGAUACUGGCAGGCUUGAAUUCGGGAGAGGGAUGUGGAAUUCCAGGUGUAGCGGUGAAAUGCGUAGAUAUCUGGAGGAACACCGGUGGCGAAAGCGGCGCACUGGACCACAACUGACGCUGAGGCGCGAAAGCUAGGGGAGCAAACAGG